rnacentral:rRNA from 1 species
GACAGAGGGUGCAAACGUUGCUCGGAUUUACUGGGCGUAAAGCGCGUGUAGGCGGGCGACUAAGUCGGAUGUGAAAUCCCUGGGCUCAACCUAGGAACUGCAUUCGAAACUGGUCACCUAGAGUGAUGGAGAGGAAAGCGGAAUUCCCGGUGUAGAGGUGAAAUUCGUAGAUAUCGGGAGGAACACCGGUGGCGAAGGCGGCCAGCUGGACGAAUACUGACGCUGAGACUCGAAAGCGUGGGGAGCAAACAGG